rnacentral:rRNA from 1 species
UGAGGAACAUGACCUUCGGCGGGGGAUAGCCGGCCCAACGGCCGGGUAAUACCGCGUACGACCACAUGGGGACAUCCCUGAGUGGUGAAAGCAGCAAUGCGCCGAUGGAGUGCCUCGCGGCCUAUCAGCUAGUUGGUGAGGUAACGGCUCACCAAGGCGACGACGGGUAGCUGGUCUGAGAGGAUGGCCAGCCACAUUGGGACUGAGACACGGCCCAGACCUNUACGGGGAG